GAUCCUGGCUCAGGAUGAACGCUAGCUACAGGCUUAACACAUGCAAGUCGAGGGGCAUCAGUUUGGUUUGCUUGCAAACCUAAAGCUGGCGACCGGCGCACGGGUGAGUAACACGUAUCCAACCUGCCUCAUACGUCGGGGAUAGCCUUUCGAAAGAAAGAUUAAUAUCCGAUAGCAUAUAUUUCCCGCAUGGGUUUUAUAUUAAAGAAAUUCGGUAUGAGAUGGGGAUGCGUUCCAUUAGUUUGG
rnacentral:rRNA from 1 species